GAUGAACGCUGGCGGCGUGCCUAAUACAUGCAAGUCGAGCGAACAGACGAGGUGCUUGCUCCUCUGACGUUAGCGGCGGACGGGUGAGUAACACGUGGAUAACCUACCUAUAAGCCUGGGAUAACUUCGGGAAACCGGUGCUAAUACCGGAUAAUAUAUUGAACCGCAUGGUUCAAUAGUGAAAGACGGUUUUGCUUUCACUUAUAGAUGGAUCCGCGCCGCAUUAGCUAGUUGGUAAGGUAACGGCUUACCAAGCCAAAGAUACGUAGCCGACCUCAGAGGGUGAUCGGCCCCACUGGGAAUGAGACACGGGCCAAACUCCCACGGGGGGGAGCAGUAUGGGAAAUUCGGCGAAGGGGGAAAAACCGACCGGGCAACGCCGCGUGAGGGAAGAAAGGUUUUGGAGCGUAAAAAUCUGUUUUUAGAGGAGAAAGUAAGUGAGAGAGGAAAGCUCAUCCAGUGACGGUAACUAACCAGAAAGGCACGGCUAACUACGUG
rnacentral:rRNA from 1 species